CAGUAGCCGCGGUAAUACGAAGGGGGCUAGCGUUGCUCGGAAUUACUGGGCGUAAAGGGAGCGUAGGCGGACAUUUAAGUCAGGGGUGAAAUCCCAGAGCUCAACUCUGGAACUGCCUUUGAUACUGGGUGUCUUGAGUGUGAUAGAGGUAUGUGGAACUCCGAGUGUAGAGGUGAAAUUCGUAGAUAUUGGAUGGAACACCGGUGGCGAAAGCGGCUCUCUGGCCCGGAUCUGGCGCUGAGGCGCGAAAGCGUGGGGAGCAAACAGGAUUAGAUACCCCUGUAGUCCCUGUCUCUUAUAC
rnacentral:rRNA from 1 species